rnacentral:rRNA from 1 species
CCGGUGCUAAUACCGGAUAAUCCUUUCCUUCACAUGAAGGAAAGCUGAAAGACGGUUUCGGCUGUCACUUACAGAUGGGCCCGCGGCGCAUUAGCUAGUUGGUGAGGUAACGGCUCACCAAGGCGACGAUGCGUAGCCGACCUGAGAGGGUGAUCGGCCACACUGGGACUGAGACACGGCCCAGACUCCUACGGGAGGCAGCAGUAGGGAAUCUUCCGCAAUGGACGAAAGUCUGACGGAGCAACGCCGCGUGAGCGAUGAAGGCCUUCGGGUCGUAAAGCUCUGUUGUCAGGGAGGAACAAGUACCGGAGUAACUGCCGGUACCUUGACGGUACCUGACCAGAAAGCCACGGCUAACUACGUG